rnacentral:rRNA from 1 species
UACGAAGGGGACUAGCGUUGUUCGGAAUCACUGGGCGUAAAGCGCACGUAGGCGGAUGUGUCAGUCAGGGGUGAAAUCCCGGGGCUCAACCCCGGAACUGCCUUUGAUACUGGUAGUCUCGAGUCCGGAAGAGGUGAGUGGAAUUCCGAGGUGUAGAGGUGAAAUUCGUAGAUAUUCGGAGGAACACCAGUGGCGAAGGCG